GAAGCCACACCCGAUCCCAUCCCGAACUCGGCCGUGAAACGCCCCAGCGCCCAUGGUACUGCGCCUCAAGGCGUGGGAGAGUAGGCCGC
rnacentral:rRNA from 1 species